rnacentral:tRNA from 1 species
UGGGAUUUAGCUUAGUGGUGUAAGUAUCUGCCUGGCAAGCAUAAGGUCAUGAUUUCAAUCCCUG